rnacentral:siRNA from 1 species
AUGCAGUUUGUGGUGAUCUUAGAG